UCAGUUACAUCUGCAGCUAUCAGCUCCUUAAUGAUGACUCUUAACCGAUACUUCAGUGAGAUGAGUUACGUUACAGCAUACAACAGUUCUGAAUUGGGUAGGGUUCAGUCAGGGAGUUGUUGGAAGGAUUAGACUCAGAUGCAAGGGCAUCCAGCCUAAAGGGUUGGAGACGCAGUUACAAUGGUACCCGGCCUCAGGGGAGAGAGACGCAGCUGCAAGGGCAGCCGGCCUCAGAAAUCGACGCAGAUACAACGGUAUCCGGCCUAAAGGGUUAGAGACGCAGUUACAACGGUACCCGGCCUCAGGGGAGAGAGACGCAGCUGCAAGGGCAUCCGGCCUCAGAAAUCGACGCAGAUACAACGGUAUCCGGCCUAAAGGGUUAGAGACGCAGUUACAACGGUACCCGGCCUCAGGGGAGAGAGACGCAGCUGCAAGGGCAUCCGGCCUCAGAAAUCGACGCAGGCACAAGGGUACCCGGCCUGCAGGAUACUAGGAAGGGCAAAAUCCACAAAAGUUGUAUGUUUGUCCCGUAACACAAAUAUGAAUUAUUUCCGCUCCUGGCUAUCACGUUCAAAUAUGUCCUGUAUUGACCAACUCCACCAGUGAAGAGAA